rnacentral:rRNA from 1 species
AACUUUUAACAACGGAUCUCUUGGUUCUGGCAUCGAUGAAGAACGCANCGAAAUGCGAUAAGUAAUGUGAAUUGCAGAAUUCAGUGAAUCAUCGAAUCUUUGAACGCACAUUGCGCCCGCCA